UUGUGCUGGCAAUCUGUGGGGGCAACUACCUGGCUCCCAUGCACAAUAUCAAAGAUGAGAUUGAGGGCGAGGGGAAGUGAAUUCCAUCACAUGAGACUGCUGUUGUCUAUUUGCCCCCCUGUCCAACAUGCAGUAAGCCGUGGAACCUGAUUUACUGGUUCUUGACUUGAGGGAAUAAAUUGGACAGCAAACAUUCUAGUGACCUUAUCCUUGCAGAAAUAUUAGCUCUGGACCCAUUUAAGUCUGCCCUCGGUGGCGUUCCUAUCUGCUCAUUCUUCUAUCUACAGAAGUGAGCAGGUGAUAUUUGUGCUAUGAAUUAGACCAGUUCAGUGUCCUGGGUGCGUGUGUGGACCUGUGUGGAGUUAGUACAUGAGAGCCACGUCUUUGAGUCCAUGUUGUGCUGGCACACUGGAAAACACAUCCCCUCUGCAUGUUUGCCAAGUUCAGGGAACACCUAUCCCAUUUCAGCCACCAAGUCUACUCUGUCCAGAGCAUCAAGCGCCAGUGGUGACCACGCUCACAAUUCUUCACCCCACCAUAGCCAGAACGUUCUAGGGAGUUGCUGGCCUGUAUGAAGCUUGUUCCGUAAUCAUCUCAGAACUCCUACCAGAAGGAGUGAAGAUUCAAGCUGAAGUGGUGACUGAAGAGGAAUCUACUCCAGUGGCUGCUGAUCAAGUGGAGGAGCCAUCUAACUAGGGUUUAGUAGAGGGAUCGAGUACCUCUUCACUGCAAUAAGGCAAGCCCCGGUGC